UUUUAUACAACUAUCAGUACUAUAUCAUUUUCUCCCAUUUUGCCCUAGCCCGCUCCCAGUCUCUCAGACGCGAGAUCUGAAAUCUCGAUUCCUCACUCCUCAGCGACCGGGAACGAGACUGCGAAGGGACAAAGACAGACGAAAACGACCGCUACCGCACUCCCUCUCCUAAUCCUGUGCAGAAGCGCCACAAGCGCGGCGAGAGCAGCGAGAAGGACAGGCGGCGGGAUGCCGCCGCGGUGGAUUUGAACAACAACAAAAAAACAACUACGUUUUCUUUCUCUCUUUGUGGAUCUGACAGUGAUACACACACACG
rnacentral:lncRNA from 1 species